GACGAACGCUGGCGGCGUGCUUAACACAUGCAAGUCGAACGGAAAGGCCCUGCUUUUGUGGGGUGCUCGAGUGGCGAACGGGUGAGUAACACGUGAGUAACCUGCCCUGGACUUUGGGAUAACUUCAGGAAACUGGGGCUAAUACCGGAUAGGAGCUCCUGCUGCAUGGUGGGGGUUGGAAAUUUUCGGCGGUUGGGGCUGGACUCUCGGCUUAUCAGCUUGUUGGGGGGGUAGUGGCUUACCAAGGCUUUGACGGGUAGCCGGCCUGGGAGGGUGACCGGGCACAUUGGGACUGAGGUACGGCCCAGACUCCUACGGGAGGCAGCGGUGGGGAAUAUUGCACAAUGGGCGGAAGCCUGAUGCAGAAACGCCGCGUGCGGGAUGACGGCCUUCGGGUUGUAAACCGCUUUAGCCUGUGACGAAGCGUGAGUGACGGUAAUGGGUAAAGAAGCACCGGCUAACUACGUG
rnacentral:rRNA from 1 species